UAUCACUUGUAGUGCGCGGCUCAGUUCAAGAUAGUUCGCCAACGUACUUUUAUCAGUGUCACACCGUUAAAUUUCGUACUUUUUCCUCUAAAAAAAAGAUGCAGAUGUGCGGAUGUAAACAAUGAAAAUUCCAUUCAAGAGAAUACUGUCAUCCCGGCUGAUGUGUCUUGCGAAUUGUUUGAAUUUAACUCAAGGCAUCCGUUUCUUGUGGUCUUGAGUCCUGGGGAAGCAUUCCUCGAUUAAACGAUAUAAAGUAAAAAUUCAGAAAAAUUUUGUUUCUUAUUGAAUCGGAUGUGCUGUCAUCGCAUUUCUAUCACGACGAAGCGUGUAUAUCAAUACUGUUAUUUUGCAAAAAAGCAACCAGAAGGAUGAAAGGAUGUGAAAGGAGAAAAGCAGUUCCUGUAUUCUGCGGAAGUGGCCCACCAAAUUUAAUAUUUUUUUUUAUUUUAUUUUCCUGGAGGAAGCGCGAUGGCACAGCAUCCAUCGCCCAACGUGGGAAUCACCGUUCGAUGAGUCUUUUCUAUAUUCUAUUUCUUUUUUCUUGCGUUUUUCCU